UACGUAGGGUGCGAGCGUUGUCCGGAAUUACUGGGCGUAAAGGGCUCGUAGGCGGCCAACUAAGUCGGACGUGAAAUCCCUCGGCUUAACCGGGGAACUGCGUCCGAUACUGGAUGGCUUGAGUUCGGGAGAGGGAUGCGGAAUUCCAGGUGUAGCGGUGAAAUGCGUAGAUAUCUGGAGGAACACCGGUGGCGAAGGCGGCAUCCUGGACCGACACUGACGCUGAGGAGCGAAAGCCAGGGGAGCAAACGGG
rnacentral:rRNA from 1 species